ACAUUUCCACACUACUAAUGUUUCCAGAUGGAUGUAUCUAUGUGUAUCUAGAGGCUACUUAUGGCAGGAAAAUUUCCAGACCAUGUUCAUAUGUCAUAGUGCACUUGAGCACAUAAACUUUUCCCCUAGCUGGGUCUGUCAGAUGGCGCAUGAGAUGUUGAUCCUGAGAUAAGUCUUUUCACAUGGCUCAGUUUUUUGUAACCUUUAACUCUAUUAAAUGUUACUUAGCUUAACUUUUAA